rnacentral:lncRNA from 1 species
GCCAGUGCCAUAUUUUGCAAUUUAAACUGAAAGCAGAUGUCAUUUAAUUCAAAAGAUCAUUGAAACAAUAAAUUGGCAGAAGAUAUGAAUAUUAACAGCAUUAGCCACCCACAUGUAAAAAACACAAACUGCAUCCAAUUGUUCUAGGUUUCAUAAUAAUAGCCAAAAAAGAUGAAAAUGGAGUAACAAAGCAUAGUGAGACACAGCUAAAGGAAGCUACUAAAACAAGGGAUAGAGCAAACAAGUAGGAUACUAAGAAACGAAGGACAGAGGAAACAAGUAAGGAUACUAAGGAGCAGUAGUACCAAUUAAAGCAAACAAGAAAAUAGACACUCAACUAACAAAAGCUAAUAACCCCAUAUGAAGAUUGACCUAGUGGAAAUAGAAUUCCCAACAAAACUUAUCUGCCCUGUCCCUCUUGUAUGCUUUUCAAAUUUUGGUUAUAGUUGAUUUGUCCUCACUUGGCCAUCAUCACUUUGACAAACUCCUCAUAGUUGAUCUGGCCAUCGCCGUCGACAUCAGCCUCGCGAAUCAUCUCAUCAACCUCCUCAUCGGUCAGCUUCUCCCCCAGAUUUGUCAUAACAUGGCGGAGCUCAGCAGCAGAUAUAAAACCAUUCUGAUCCUUGUCGAACACACGGAAAGCUUCUUUAAGCUCCUCCUCUGAGUCAGUGUCUUUCAUCUUGCGAGCCAUCAGAUUGAGGAACUCCGGGAAAUCGAUGGUUCCGUUGCCAUCAGCAUCAACCUCAUUUAUCAUGUCCUGCAACUCUGCCUCAGUUGGGUUUUGCCCAAGUGACCGCAUUACAGUCCCAAGUUCCUUGGUAGUAAUGCAACCUAAACCACAUUACAAAACUGUUCAACAGAAAUAUGAUUCAUUCAAACCCACAAGUGAAAUGCAGGUCAAAGUUUUGAAAACAUGACGGAAUAAAGAACAUAAAUCCGGUUAUACUGGGAGGAAAGUUUCAGAAGAAAAAGAUAAUCUGAAGCAGGUACAACAACGGAAAGUGAAGAACACUGUAAAGUACCAUUGCGUCAAAGGAACACACAUGCUAGAUAUUUGGUAACAAUUUUCUACAGUAAUGAUUAAUUAACAAUUCGGACAAGAUACUGUUAGCAUCCUUGGUAGUAGGGGUUUGCCUAUCAGCUGAGAUACUCAUAGCAGAAACAUGCAUAGAAUGACAUAAUGGUUAACAAAUCUAGACAGAAUGAAAUACAUAGUCAAAAACAAAAAAUCUAGCCAAAUAAAAAUGUCUAGCUAAACCAAAUGAUCCAAAUAUCAAAUUCCAUUACAUAAAUAUACACAUGCUACACUAUCACUGCUUACUUCAGUUGCCAAAACAAACACCCGUAUUUUUAGUAUUUACAAAGGACAAACUUACGCAUUUCUGAAUCUACAUAUCACAUAAAACUCCUACGGAAAAAACAGAUCCAUAAUAUAAAAUCUAGAUGUUUCCACAAAACGAUAAGCACAACCAAGACUUGUCAUCAACAACCCAAUAGGAUGACACAAACAGAUCCACCAACCAAAACGGUCCAACAAGCUAACAUUCUAUUCUCAGACACCACAAAAACAUAAAUCGCCAAAUUUAACACAGCAAACUGCCAACCUUCCGAAUUCAACUUUACAAAUCAUAACCCACAUCCCCAAUUUCCACAUCUACGAAAACCAUUCCGAUUUCCGACACGUGCAUCAAACAACAAAAAGCAAACCCCAGUUCCAAAUCCAACGCUAAAAAUCCAUUUCCAAUUCCACGAUCCAAAUCCACCCACACCCGGAAUCAUAACUCUUCACAAAACAAAACAUCAUCAACAAACACAAAACCACGAGAAUCGUAGAAAUUUCCACAUCAACAUCCAAAAGGUCAAACAAAACCGGAACCCUAUAUCACCAAGUAUAAGUGUCAUAUAAAUUCAAUCCCCCUACCUCAAACUACCAAAAAUAUCAAAUUUAGCACAAAAAGAAAAACACAAACAAGACCCCCCAAGAACAAACGAAUUGCGGAAACCAGAUCUGGGAAAGAGGGAAAAGUGAAACAAGGAAGAGAGAAAAAGGAAAAAGACAGAGAGGGAUCUGAGGAGAGAGACCAUCGCCAUCCUUGUCGAAGAGGCUGAAGGCCUCCUUGAACUCGGCGAUCUGGUCGUCGGUGAGCUGGUCGGC